rnacentral:misc_RNA from 1 species
CCGAGCUUACAACUCCCAAACCCAAUGUGAACCAUACCAAACUGUUGCCUCGGCGGGGUCACGCCCCGGGUGCGUCGCAGCCCCGGAACCAGGCGCCCGCCGGAGGGACCAACCAAACUCUUUCUGUAGUCCCCUCGCGGACGUUAUUUCUUACAGCUCUGAGCAAAAAUUCAAAAUGAAUCA